UAACUCAACUGGUAGAGCGUGACAUUAGCGUUGCCAAGGUUAGGGGUUCGAUUCCCUCUGCGACCA